rnacentral:lncRNA from 1 species
GCGCCUUUGUUUCCGUCUCCUUCUCCUUUCCCUCCUCUUUUGUGUCGGGCCAGACUCAGCCCCAGAAACCAGCCACCCUGCCGCGUCCGACUGCCAGGGAUCCCUCACGCCGCGAGGUGGAGUCUCGCUCUGUCGCCCAGGCUGGAGUACAGUGGUGCGAUCUUGGCUCCCUGCAACUUCUGCCUCCCAGGUUCAAGCGAUUUUCCUGCCUCAGCUUCCUGAGUAGCUGGGACUACAGUACCAGAGAUGUCUCCAAGAGCACCAGCAACCCCAGCUAUCUGGAUCUGAAGUGGAUAUGCUCAGAGACAUCCUGGCCCACCCCAAAGAAGAUGCUGCUGCACUCAGAAGACGCCAGAGCUAGCCACCACCCACACUGCAAGUCUGGAAGCUCUGCAAGGACCCAGCAAGGCAGCCUGCUCAGCGAAGGCUUUGUCUCCUGUGGCAGGAAGAGCAACAUUAAGAACAAGAACCCCGGGCUGGACUACCCCUGAGAUUUAAUGACCAGAGCUGAGACCCCCAAGACCACAAUGACUAUGGAGGGCUGUCAUUACCCUGCCUGACCCUCUAAUGCCUCUCAGUUCAAGGAGGCCACUGAGUGAAACUGAAGGCUGGUUUUCCUUGGAAGCCAGCGGCCCAUCCACCUGCUCCACUUCCCUGCCUCUUGCAGCCUCCGCUCAAACACUGUCGUGGCUUGGCAGCACUACAAGUAUUUCAGGGGCUGCCAAGCUGCUCUCCUGUUUCCUCUUCCUUGGGGCUGAUUGCAUCCCAUGAUGUGCCCAGGUUUUGAGAUGCUCCUCGUGAAUGAAAAUAGGACUGUCUGGUUCCUCCAUCCAUAGCAAGGGAGCCUAGACAGAAAUAACUUCUGUGCAUUUCUCCAGCUACAUUUAGGGAAAACUAGAAAAUACAGAAAUAUAUCAAGAAGAAAAAAAAUUUAAAAAUGACCCAAAAUCCCACCAACCAGAGACAGCUAUUAAUGAUUGUGGUAUAUUUAUUGUAAGUCUCUUUAUUUCUGUCUUCAUGCAAACACAUUUUUAAAGAAUGGACACUGGUAUUAUAUUGUUUAUACAACUCUAAAUGCUGCUUUUUCACUUAUUACAAUUAGGACUUUUUUCAUGUUAAUAAAUACUUCCUGAAAACAUAAA